rnacentral:miRNA from 1 species
CAUGGUCACUCUUAACUGGGCUACCCCAUCAUCAUCAUCAUCAUCAUCAUCAUCAUCAUCAUCAUCAGCAGCAGCAGCAGCAGCAGCAGCAGCAGCAGCAGCAGCAGCAGCAGCAGCUGGUGACUGU